UGGGGAAUAUUGGGCAAUGGGCGCAAAGCCUGACCCAGCAACGCCGCGUGAGGGAAGAAGGUUUUCGGAUUGUAAACUUCUGUCCUAUGAGACGAAGGAAGUGACGGUAUCAUAGGAGGAAGCCCCGGCUAACUACGUGCCAGCAGCCGCGGUAAUACGUAGGGGGCGAGCGUUGUCCGGAAUGAUUGGGCGUAAAGGGCGCGUAGGCGGCCUGGUAAGUCUGGAGUGAAAGUCCUGCUUUCAAGGUGGGAAUUGCUUUGGAUACUGUCGGGCUGGAGUGCAGGAGAGGUAAGCGGAAUUCCCGGUGUAGCGGUGAAAUG
rnacentral:rRNA from 1 species